rnacentral:tRNA from 1 species
GCCCCGUUGGUCUAGUUGGUCAGGACGUCCGGUUCUCAGCCGGAAGAUCACCGGUUCGAAUCCGGUACGGGGUA